CGCGAAGGUUCCUUUCGGGGAACCGGAGAGCGGCGGAAGGGUGAGUAAUGCAUGGGUAACGUACCUCAGGCACAGGGAUAGCCUACCGAAAGGUGGGAUAAUACCUGAUGAGACCACAGUGCCAUAUGGCACAGUGAUCAAAGGGCGGGGAUCUUCGGACCUGCCGACCUGAGAGCGGCCCAUGUCCUAUCAGCUUGUUGGUGAGGUAACGGCUCACCAAGGCAUCGACGGGUACCGGGACUGAGAGGUUGGCCCGGCACAUUGGGACUGAGACACUGCCCAGACUCCUACGGGAGGCUGCAGUAACGAAUAUUCCGCAAUGGGCGAAAGCCUGACGGAGCGACGCCGCGUGUGGGAAGAAGCUCUUCGGGGUGUAAACCACUGUCAGGGAUUACCAAGUGAACGGGCCUAAUAUGCCCGGGAUCUGAGGAGUCCCAGAGGAAGCCACGGCUAACUUCGUGCCAGCAGCCGCGGUAAUACGAAGGUGGCAAGCGUUAUCCGGAUUUACUGGGCGUAAA
rnacentral:rRNA from 1 species